CUGAAAUCUGGCAAGCGUUAGUCAUCUCCAGCUCAGCACGGACCCACAAGUGUGCGUGUGUAGCUCUGCGGGCUUCAGCUGGGGCCCGCCCCGCCCUCGGGCGCGCACUGCCACCCCGAGACCAGACGCGGCCUUGGCGUGGCUUCUGUGGAGCCGCUGACUCCGGGUGGCUCAGCACCCUCGGCUAAAAGGGGACGGACCAGCCAGGCUGCGCCACACAAGGAAGAAAGUUGUGGAGCCAGAAGAGGGGGGGUCUCCACUCCAAGUUUGUGCCGUGUCGCCGCGUCCCGGGGCGCCGACCGCGCACAGCAGCGGAGGGACUUCAGUCCUCCUGGAGGAACGGGAUUCCCGGUGCGGGUGCCAGACCGGCGCUAGAGGCUCUGCCCCAGGCCGGGGAGGAACUUGUCCUGCGAGCUGUCGCCGUGGGCCUUCAUUGUUUGCAGGAACUCUCCGGAAUCCGGAGGGGAAGGACUGGAUCGCGCUUCCACUGGGAUUCGCCAAGAGUUCCGGCGGCAGCUGUGGCGGUGGCGAGCCUCCCUUUGUCCUUUCAGGACCUCCCUCUCUCCUUUCUCCCUCUCUCUGUCAGUUAAUGGGGUCCCGCUGACGCAGGCGCCUGCGCCCCAGCUGCUCUCAGUCCCCCACGACCCACCCCAGGGUGAGUCCCUGGAGACUCUUUGGCGUCCCCGGCCCAGCAGAACAAGGGGGCUGCGAGUGCGAGGGAGUCACAGGCCCCUGGCCACAGGAUGGUGGCGGGCCGGCCCCUGGCCCGCCGCCCCGGGAGCGGGCUGUUACCCGGACUGUGGUUGUUGGCGCUCAGUGGCCUUGGGGGACUGCUGCACGCCCAGGAACAGCCCUCCUGCAGAAGAGCCUUUGAUCUCUACUUCGUCCUGGACAAGUCAGGGAGUGUGGCAAAUAAUUGGAUUGAAAUCUACAAUUUUGUCCAGCAACUUACGGAGAGAUUUGUGAGCCCUGAAAUGAGAUUAUCUUUCAUUGUGUUUUCUUCUCAAGCAACCAUUAUUUUGCCAUUAACUGGAGACCGAGGCAAAAUCAGUAAAGGCUUGGAGGAUUUAAAAAGUGUUACGCCAGCAGGAGAGACAUACAUCCAUGAAGGACUAAAGCUAGCAAAUGAACAAAUUCAGAAAGCAGGAGGCUCCAAAACCUCCAGUAUCAUAAUUGCUCUGACAGAUGGUAAGUUGGACGGUCUGGUACCAUCAUAUGCAGAGAAAGAGGCAAAGAAUUCCAGGUCACUUGGAGCUAAUGUUUAUUGUGUUGGUGUCCUUGAUUUUGAACAAGCUCAGCUGGAAAGAAUUGCAGAUUCCAAGGAACAAGUUUUCCCUGUCAAAGGUGGAUUUCAAGCUCUUAAAGGAAUAAUUAAUUCUAUACUAGCUCAAUCAUGUACUGAAAUCCUGGAAUUGAGACCCUCAAGUGUCUGUGUUGGGGAGGAAUUUCAAGUCGUUGUGAGUGGAAGAGGCUUCAUGUUGGGCAGUCGGAAUGGCAAUGUCCUCUGUGUUUUCACUGUAAAUGACACCUACACAAAGAGUGAAAAUGCAGUAAAUGUACAGCUUAAUUCUAUGCUUUGUCCUGCACCUGUCCUGAGUAAAGCUGGAGAAACUCUCGAUGUUUCAGUGAGCUUUAAUGGAGGAAAAUCUGUCAUUUCAAGCUCAUUAAUCAUCACCGCCACAGAAUGUUCCAACGGGAUUGCAGCCCUCAUUGCAAUUUUGGUGUUAUUGUUGCUCUUGGGCAUCGGUUUGAUGUGGUGGUUUUGGCCUCUUUGCUGCAAGGUGGUUAUCAAGGAUCCUCCUCCACCACCACCUCCUGUACCAAAAGAGGAGGAAGAAGAACCUCAACCCACCAAGAAAUGGCCAACUGUGGAUGCUUCCUAUUAUGGUGGUCGAGGGGUUGGAGGAAUUAAAAGAAUGGAGGUUCGCUGGGGUGAUAAAGGAUCUACUGAGGAAGGAGCAAGGCUAGAGAAAGCCAAAAAUGCCGUGGUGAUAGUUCCCGAAGAAGAAGAGGAACCCAUCAGGCCCAAGCCACCUCGACCCAAACCCACAUACCAGCCUUCUCAGACCAAGUGGUACACACCAAUUAAGGGUCGUCUGGAUGCGCUCUGGGCCCUGCUGUGCAGGCAGUAUGACCGGGUAUCCUUGAUGCGGCCUCAGGAAGGAGACGAGGGCCGAUGCAUAAACUUCUCUCGAGUUCCACAUCAGUAAAAGGAAAGCAAGAAGAACAAGAAGGUACCAAGAUGGCACAUUUUCACAAUGCUGAUUUCAACCAAAUGAAAAAAGUCAAGUACAUUUCAGAAACUGUUUGAAGAGCAUCUUAAUUCUUCUCUGUCAGGACACAUUUCCUCUGCCUUCUGCUUUCCUUGCACCAGACAUUUUCAAACACUUGGUCUACCAUCUUUAUGAGAGGUGCUGAAACUCAGUGGUAGCUAACAAUUCAUGACAUUGAAAAUAAAGAGAAAUGUUCAUCUGCAUACUACCUACAGUUUCUACAAGAAAGGUAGUUCAAAUGUUUAGAAGAGGAAACAGCAGUUAUGACAACCAUGUAAAAGAUAACAAAACUGGGACCACAAAACAACUAGCCAUAUUGGAUUUUUAAUGGAGAUAGGAGUUUUUAACAUGGAAACAUGGCACCAAUGUUUUUGUAUGACAAGAUCCCUCGCCAUAGACUGAGUAUGAAAUUUCCCACCAGGCUAAGCAAAUAAUGGAGUCCAUUAUAGCUAUGUCAGAUCAUAAAAUCCUUCCAAGUCCCACAUCAAAGUGUGCCUUACGGGAAGUUUCUGACUAGAAAAUCUUGUCAUUCUACCACUGGAAAGUGCACACGCAUGACAAAAUGUAGACAAGAUGCCUCAAGGUAUUGGUACCAGGCGAGAUUUUGCCCUUUAGUUUUUGAAGACACCUUUCUUUCAUUAUGCACUUGGGACAAGAAAAUUAAUAGAGCGUUAUUCCAAAGGAAGACAGCCUCUAACCAAAGAUCCACAGUGGAGAACUCACGAUAAAAAUCACCCUCGUGUCACGUCUACGAUGCCAAAUUAUGUUAGCGUGAGCAGAAACACUGUGGGGGAGGAAGAAGGCAGCAGCUGAAGAAAACAGCUCAAAUGAUCUAGUCACUUUCGAUACUGUACUUCAGAUGCGAAAUGGAUAUUCGACUCGAAACCUGACAAAGCGUGCCUGCUUUGAUGUGAACUGGUAUAGACAAUGACCAGUGGCCGGGUCAGUGGGAUGUCUCUCUGGGAGCACAAAGGCUUAUCAAAUGACACUAAAAAUAAGUUCAACAACCAUCACGUUGGAAGGGAGAAAGAGAACACUUCAUGUUUGGCGGGCAUGCAAGUGCACAAGAUGGAAAGAGCAAGUUGGAGCAUCCUGGUAUAAUUACCCCCAUUGUGCUUUAAGUGGAAAUUUCAAACGACGGGGGUGAUGCUGUUGGUUGGUGUCCAGGUUUAUGGUACUGCUCCAAGAAGCCUUACGCACAAAAAUAAAUAUAUACACCCACUCAUAUACAUAUAUUCUUUAGCUUGAAUCUUUUGCUCAAGUUUAUUUAUGUCACUGGCUGGCUGGAUCCAAAGUCAUGUGUCCACAUACUCAUAAAUAAAAAUUUUACCUGUGCCUUUGUUAUUUUCUUUAAGCCCUCAUAAACCUCAUACCUUCUUUGGUCAGUAUACAGUUGUCCUGGUUAUUUUCAAGGAUAAAAUUCUAAUCAGUUCCAAAAUACCCAGCAUGUUUGCAUAUGAUACUAUUGGAAGAAAUCUAUGUGUGCAAGUACAACAUGGAAGCCAGAUAGAGUACACCUGACCCUUUCUUCAAUGAGUUCUUGUAGACAUCUGUUCUGUAUUUGCAUCUGGAGUAAGAUCUAUUGCUACUUUCUUAAAUGGGUACUUCAUUUCUGAUCAAUGCACACCCAUUGAUGAUAUUUUAAGAGAAUCAAGGAUGCCAUAGAAGCUAUGACUAUGUUUAUUUGAUAGUUACUUUAAAUUUCUCCAGAGUCAUAUACCACAUUUGUAUUUUGCUACAUGAGCAAUAUAAAUAAAAGCUCUGCCUUUAAAUGGCCAAAUAGCUUUCCAGAGAUUUGUAAUGCAAAUACUAUGAAGAGCUCUCAAUGAAGAGGGAUGGGCAUUUGUUUAUAUGUAGACUGAAAAAAAAACCACCAUUAAUAAAGUUCAAAGACAGAUGGAAUUUCAUUGCCCUUGAAAAUAUGAACCAGAUCUAUGCUAUGCUUUUGACUGAUGAGUCUAACCAGCAAAUGAGAAGAAUUUAUUUUAGUGUCAUUUCCUAACCAGAGGACAUGAUCAAAACUGUCUGUAUCUUUCAACCAGGAAAACAGUUUGGAAUAAAGCCUUUUAAUAAACUUCAUGGCAUCUUAUAUAUAAAUGAGAAAAAUAGCUCCUAUGUAAUUUUCUGGACAUGAUAUUAAUCAAGAUCUCUCUCUGUGUAAAUGAAUAAGUCUUAUCCAUCACCCAUUUGUGUUGCAUAAGGUUGAAAAAACAAUUAAGUGGGAAAUGACUCCUAACUUAUGUGUCUGCUCUGCCUAGAAAGAAAUUUUUGAAGGCAUCUAUAUAUAUUUCAUAACAAUGUCUGUUCUUUAUGGAUUUGAUCCAUAAAUAUUUAUCUAUCUGAAAACUUUGAUACUUGGAAUGUUUUCCUUAAAGCAUUUGGUACUCCAAGAAAAAACAUUUGGUGCUAUUCCUUUCCCCAAGUUAAUUCUAUUUUAAAAUUUUAUAUUUUCUUCCCAAUGAGAUGCAGAGUAAAAUUUGAGAGUCUCCAUUGACUAGGGAGCAGCAUCUGUCAUCUAUGGUUAAUUGCUAUUUUGACAAAAAUAUAUAAGGUUUAAAAUCCCCUAUAUUUCAAAUUGUUAGAGAAAGAGCCAUUUGCUUAUAGUUCCCUUGAUCUUUAUUC